rnacentral:piRNA from 1 species
UCCUCAUAUCGCCCGCGAGAGGAUCAAGGA